ACGGACAUCAGAGAUUCAUUCUGGGAGCCAUCGCCUACCGCCAGGUAGGAGUGCAUGCCCAGCUCUUUCAUCUGCUGCUCACCGAUAACGCGCGUGACAACAUUUUUGCUGUAAGAGUCUGCCAGCUGACGCGCCUGAGAGGCGAGGUAGGCCGCAUUACAGAUAUUCGGCGGCAUAUUGCCGAGAUCUUUGG
rnacentral:antisense_RNA from 1 species